UGGGAGUGUGGCUCAGUGACAGGGCAUCUGCCUUGCAUCUGGGAGGCCCCAGGUUCGAUCCCUGCCACCUCAA
rnacentral:tRNA from 1 species